CCUACGGGGGGCAGCAGUGGGGGAUAUUGCACAAUGGGGGAAACCCUGAUGCAGCGACGCCGCGUGGGUGAAGGAGUAUUUCGGCAUGUAAAGCCCUAUCAGCAGGGAAGAAAGAAGACGGUACCUGACUAAGAAGCCCCGGCUAACUACGUGCCAGCAGCCGCGGUAAUACGUAGGGGGCGAGCGUUAUCCGGAUUCACUGGGUGUAAAGGGUGCGUAGACGGCCGGGCAAGCCAGGAGUGAAAGCCCGGGGCCCAACCCCGGGACUGCUCUUGGAACUGGGCGGCUGGAGUGCGGGAGGGGCAGGCGGAAUUCCUGGUGUAGCGGUGAAAUGCGUAGAUAUCAGGAGGAACACCGGCGGCGAAGGCGGCCUGCUGGACCGCGACUGACGUUGAGGCUCGAAAGCGUGGGGAGCGAACAGGAUUAGAUACCCUAGUAGUC
rnacentral:rRNA from 1 species